GUAGGUGGCAAGCGUUGUCCGGAAUUAUUGGGCGUAAAGCGCGCGCAGGGCGGUUUUUUAAGUCUGAUGUGAAAGCCCACGGGCUCAACCGUGGAGGGUCAUUGGAAACUGGGGAACUUGAGUACAGAAGAGGAAAGCGGAAUUCCACGUGUAGCGGUGAAAUGCGUAGAGAUGUGGAGGAACACCAGUGGCGAAGGCGGCUUUCUGGUCUGUAACUGACGCUGAGGCGCGAAAGCGUGGGGAGCAAACAGGAUUAGAUACCCUGGUAGUCCACGCCGUAAACGAUGAGUGCUAAGUGUUAGGGGGUUUCCGCCCCUUAGUGCUGCAGCUAACGCAUUAAGCACUCCGCCUGGGGAGUACGGCCGCAAGGCUG
rnacentral:rRNA from 1 species